UGGGGAAUAUUGCACAAUGGGGGAAACCCUGAUGCAGCAACGCCGCGUGAAGGAAGACGGUUUUCGGAUUGUAAACUUCUUUUCUUAGUGAAGAAGCAAGUGACGGUAGCUAAGGAAUAAGCAUCGGCUAACUACGUGCCAGCAGCCGCGGUAAUACGUAGGAUGCGAGCGUUAUCCGGAAUUACUGGGUGUAAGGGAGCGCAGGCGGGACUGCAAGUUGGAUGUGAAAUACCGCAGCUUAACUGCGGAGCUGCAUCCAAAACUGUAGUUCUUGAGUGGAGUAGAGGCAAGCGGAAUUCCGAGUGUAGCGGUGAAAUGCGUAGAUAUUCGGAGGAACACCAGUGGCGAAGGCGGCUUGCUGGGCUCUAACUGACGCUGAGGCUCGAAAGUGUGGGGAGCAAACAGGAUUAGAUACCC
rnacentral:rRNA from 1 species